UACGGAGGGUGCGAGCGUUAAUCGGAAUUACUGGGCGUAAGGCGUGCGCAGGCGGCCCGUUAAGCCAGAUGUAAAGCCCCGGGCUCAACCUGGGAACUGCGUUUGGUACUGGCGGGCUGGAGUCGGGUAGAGGCGGGCGGAAUUCCGGGUGUAGCGGUGAAAUGCGUAGAUAUCCGGAGGAACACCAGUGGCGAAGGCGGCCUGCUGGGCCCAGACUGACGCUGAGGCACGAAGGCGUGGGUAGCAAACAGG
rnacentral:rRNA from 1 species